rnacentral:RNase_P_RNA from 1 species
CCAGUUGGCCGGGCGGCCGCUUCACGUCAAUGCCGAAAGGUGGCGGAAGAGGAAAGUCCGGGCUUCGCGGAGAAACGGUGCCGGGUAACGCCCGGCGAGGGUGACCUCAGGGAAAGUGCCACAGAAAGCAGACCGCCUUGAACCCGCUUGCGGGUUGUAAGGUAAGGGUGAAAGGGUGGGGUAAGAGCCCACCGCGUUUCUGGCAACAGAAAUGGCAAGGUAAACCCCACCGGAAGCAAGACCGAAUAGGAACGGCGUGGCAGCUUGCUGCCGGUCUUCUCCGGAUUAUGCCGUUCGGGUAGGUUGCUAGAGGCGCAGCGUAAGUUGCGUCCCAGAGGAAUGGUCGUCGCAUGGCCCCCGGGCCAUGGCACAGAACCCGGCUUAUAGGCCAACUGGCUCC